rnacentral:rRNA from 1 species
AACGUACGCUGGCGGCACGCCUAACACAUGCAAGUCGAACGAAGUAGCAAUACUUAGUGGCAGACGGGUGAGUAACAUGUAGGUAUCUGCCCUUUGGCCUGGAAUAACACGAGGAAACUUGUGCUAAUACCGGAUAAGUCUUUACGGAGAAAGCUUUAUGCACCAUUGGAUGAGCCUGCACUUGAUUAGUUUGUUGGUGGGGUAAUGGCCUACCAAGACUGUGAUCAAUAGCUGAUUUGAGAGGAUGAUCAGCCACAUUGGGACUGAGACACGGCCCAAACUCCUACGGGAGGCAGCAGUGGGGAAUCUUGCACAAUGGAGGAAACUCUGAUGCAGCGAUGCCGCGUGAGUGAAGAAGGCCCUUGGGUUGUAAAGCUCUUUCGUCGGGGAAGAAAAUGACUGUACCCGAAUAAGAAGGUCCGGCUAACUUCGUGCCAGCAGCCGCGGUAAUACGAAGGGACCUAGCGUAGUUCGGAAUUACUGGGCUUAAAGAGUUCGUAGGUGGUUGAAAAAGUUAGUGGUGAAAUCCCAGAGCUUAACUCUGGAACUGCCAUUAAAACUUUUCAGCUAGAGUAUGAUAGAGGAAAGCAGAAUUUCUAGUGUAGAGGUGAAAUUCGUAGAUAUUAGAAAGAAUACCAAUUGCGAAGGCAGCUUUCUGGAUCAUUACUGACACUGAGGAACGAAAGCAUGGGUAGCGAAGAGGAUUAGAUACCCUCGUAGUCCAUGCCGUAAACGAUGUGUGUUAGACGUUGGAAAUUUAUUUUCAGUGUCGCAGGGAAACCGAUAAACACACCGCCUGGGGAGUACGACCGCAAGGUUAAAACUCAAAUGAAUUGACGGGGACCCGCACAAGUAGUGGAGCAUGUGGUUUAAUUCGAAGAUACGCGCAGAACCUUACCAACACUUGACAUGUUCGUCGCGACUCUAAGAGAUUAGAGUUUUCGGUUCGGCCGGACGAAACACAGGUGCUGCAUGGCUGUCGUCAGCUCGUGUCGUGAGAUGUUGGGUUAAGUCCCGCAACGAGCGCAACCCUCACUUUUAGUUGCCAUCAUUAAGUUGGGCACUCUGAAAGAACUGCCAGUGAUAAGCUGGAGGAAGGUGGGGAUGACGUCAAGUCCUCAUGGCCCUUACGUGUUGGGCUACACACGUGCUACAAUGGUAUCUACAACAGGAAGCAAGACUGCGAAGUUAAGCAAAUCCUUAAAAGAUACCUCAGUUCGGAUUGCGCUCUGCAACUCGAGCGCAUGAAGCUGGAAUUACUAGUAAUCGUGGAUCAGCGUGCCACGGUGAAUGCGUUCCCGGGUCU